AAAACUUUUAGAAUGCUUUUAUGUGCUUGUUAUUUACCACUUCUUUCCUACCAAUUCCAGAACUUAGUAUCCAAUCCAUGGAUCGGAGGCAGUAAAUGAAUAUUAGUCACACUACGUUGCGCACAUGACAGAUGUUAUGCGUAGGUGUCCGUCGUUAUAGUCCAUAAGCAGAACAGAAAGUAGUAUUUUGUUACUUGUCGGAGCCAGCUACAGACCCUAUUUUCUAAGAUACGUGGAAAGUAGUAUGAUGCAGAUGGACGCAUGGCUCAAACCAUUUAGCUUUUUAAGGUUCAACUAUGUAAAGCCUGUCUAAAGUCAUCGUCAUUUGUGAUGUCCUGUUCUAGUAUCACCCCUUCAGAGGGACUAAUAUGCAAUACUGACAUGGUAGGUUCUUUUGGUUUGUUGUUUUUGUCCAAAUCUGUUAGGCACGAUUGAUGAAAUGAUCAAAUAAAACCCAUUUGAUAAUGCACGUUAUUUAAAAAAGCCCCAUACCUGGAGUCAUUGGGUAAUACUCGUCAAUGUUGUGACUCGGUGCGGGAACGAUUUCUGGGAUGGAUUCGUUGACAUUUAUACCCUCAUUAUGGCCUGUAACGCGGAAGUUAUAUGCAAUGUUGUGUUUAUACCAGAAUGAAGGUCAACAAGACGGGGUAGAGGGUAUACCUGGACUUCCUUGGGGAUGUAGAUCAACAAGAGGUGGUAGAGGUCAACAUGAGAAGAUCAAAUAAGAACUAUUUGAUAAUGCACGUUAUUUACAAAAGCCCCAUACCUGGAGUAAUUGGGUAAUACUCGUCAAUGUUGUGACUCGGUGUGGGCACGAUUUCAGGGAUGGAUUCGUCGACAUUUAUACCCUCAUUAUGGCCUGUAACACGGUAGUUAUAUGCAAUGUUGUGUUUACACCAGAAUGAAGGUGAACAAGACGGGGUAGAGGUAAACCUGGACUUCCUUGGGGAUGUAGAUCAACAAGAGGGGGUAGAGGCCAACAUGAGAAGCCAGAGUAGAGGUCCAUUUCAAAGUAAACGUACAGGAGGACAAAGCUACCAACUGCUUACAGGAAAAGCUUGAACCUGGUCGAGCUGGGAACACUGAUAAAGAAAAGGUGUAAUUUAGCUUUGCGUAAAAUUCAGAGAAGUUGCAUAUGUAUAAAUUGUAUGAUUCACAAGUCC